GUUUUAAUAGUUUAAACAAAAUAUUGGUCUUGUAAACCAAAGAUAAGAAAAUCUUUUAAAACU
rnacentral:tRNA from 2 species